GAAUAUAAGGAUGAUUUGGCAGUGACAUCUGUCACCCCACUGGUCACUAGGGUUGAUUAUUAGGCUGAUAUGGCUGCCCAGUUGGGUGUUCCCUUCUUUCCUCAUAGUUGCAAGUAUCUCCCUCCCAAAAGCCGUGUGCUCAGAUCAGGAGGGCAAAUUCCCCCAAAACUGGUGGCUUUGUUUCUUUUUUUUGGUUAAGGAUAUAUGAAUAGCUACACUCCCCACCAAAACCUCCAAACAAGCUCUAAAGAAACUAGAAAUGGAGUUUACAGGUGCUAAGGUUGUUACUCAUUUUUAUUUUGGUGCUGAGGAUCAAACCCACCGCCUUAU
rnacentral:snRNA from 1 species